ACAUCGGUGGUUCAGUGGUAGAAUUCUCGCCUGCCACGCGGGUGGCCCGGGUUCGAUUCCCGGCCGAUGCA
rnacentral:tRNA from 1 species